AUGCUGGGCACCUCACCUUUGCGCAGCGUUGGACAGACCCCGGAUGGAUUUCCCCGUGGCACACUGUGCAGAUCCUGUCUGUGAAGGGAAGCUCCCCCUUUUUUGUCAUCUGAGCUAUUACAUAUUUUCUUACAGGAACACAAUUCUUUUCCUAAAGGAUGUUUGAACUUCCUGCUGCACGCGUAGAUAACGGCAGGGCCAUCGUGGUGGUGCAAUCCCUGGCACCCAGCAGGAGCUGACUGCAGGCAGAGAAAAUAAAUCAUUUUUCUGCCAAUGAAGCAUUAUCAUCCCUUUCAAACUUACAAGCAGGCUUCAAAGAGAUUGUCCAAUUGCUACGUUUUUAACCGGCAACAUUUAUCAGCCCUCACUCCCCAGCUAAGGGUGAGGAAAGAGUGCUGCUAAGGGCAGGCUUGUAAAGAUGUGUCAUUAUGUGGUAGCAACUGCAGUCAAAACCAUUUUUUUCCCUUUCCUCUUACAUCACCUGGAGCCAGCGCAGCCUGGGGGUGUGCUCUGUCAUCAGCCGUGCAUGAAGAGCCCCCGUCUGCAGGAACAGAAACAGAAAGGAGGACAGCACCAAAGGAAAAGAGCGGUGCCGGAGGGUUCAUGGGGAGAGGAGAAGCCAUGUACAGGAAAAAGCUGAGAGGUUUCUCUUCUGUUUCAGUAUGUAUAUAUCUAAGAAGGCAUUAAAGCAAAAUUUUAACCCCCAUGAGACUCCAAAGGACACAUACCUACUAUGCAAACUGCAGUGGGGUGAGACUGGCACACCUUGGAUACACUGGGUCAGAAAUGAGCGUUACCACCAUGCUGAAAUCUACUUCUUGGAGAAGAUCUUUAAGAUGAGAAAAUCCAAUAAUUAUGUCAAGUGUAACAUCACCUGGUACUUGUCCUGGAGCCCUUGUGCAGACUGCUGCCACAAAAUACUGAAUUUCUUGGAGAGGCACUCAAAUGUAAACAUAAAUAUAUAUGUAGCGCGGCUUUAUUUCAUAGAAGAUGAAGAAAUUCGCCAAGGUCUGAAGAACCUUGUGAGCUUGGCGGAAGUAACCAUUGCUGUCAUGAAAAUUGAAGGCAAGGUUUCCCAUGCUUUGUGGGACUGGGAAGGGUGAACUGGUGAACUUUGUGCAUGGGUGAAUCUGGUAUAGACUUGCUUCCGUGCCCAGCAUCCUGCCCAGCUUCUUUGGGGGCACAUCCAUCACCAUUCGGUGAGCGAGUGUCACAUCCAAAAAAAAUGUUCAACUAUUGCAGAAGAAGGGGGACAGGAAUCUUAGCAACCAGACCUGUAUGACAAUUCUCCCUUGUUUAGAGACACCAUCUUUCUGUCAUUCCUGAGGAAAUGGGUGAUGGGGUGCUUCUCCCUUGUCCUGGGGGACUAAACGCAGCUGCUGGGAUAAGGUUGGCUGAAGGGGCCCUCUGCUCGUAAGAGGGAAAAAAAAAUAGCCCAGAGAGAAUGGCAUUGGUUCCAAAUACAGAGUGGACAGCAUGCAUCAGCUGGCCUGUCCAUGGCUAAGCUGUCUCUGUGUCAUGGGCGCCAGGAAGAGGUGAAACAGUCUUCUUACCUGAGCUUGUCUGGUAUCUGAAUAAACUCAGGUUAGUCAUCUUUCUUCCAUUUCUCCAGACUAUAUUUACUGUCAGAAAAAGUUUAUCCAAGGAGGUGACGAUGAUGAUUCCUGGACUGUCAGCUUUCAGCCACAGAUAAGUAAGAAUUGUUUGAAGCUCGAGGACGUCUUUGAGACCUUCUGAAAGGCAGGAGAGAGGAGAGACUGUGUUCACCAACAGUGCUGAAAGUUUGUGCCCCUGGAGACAAGAGACACUGCUUCAAUGAAUAGGUCCACAUGCCUGGCCUGGAAGAAUUGUGUACAAAAAAAAAAAAAAAAUCUAGCAAAACUAAUAUAAGUUCUGCAGCAUUUUAAUUUCAAUGUAUUAGAGUUUUCUGACAAAUGCUAUUUUUACUGAAACAGAGUGAAAGAAAUAUACGGCUAAGUAGGUCAUUGAACAUCUGGGAAAUCCAUUUUAUAUGGCAUCUGUGGAAAAUAAAUAUACCACGCUAUUACAAAUAACAGAUUUCUCCUGCUAUGUCCAUUUCAAAUCACAGCAAGUCCAAAGUGCAAUAGUU